rnacentral:sRNA from 1 species
UGACACUUCACCACCGCUUAAUCGAUGUU